GACGAACGCUGGCGGCGUGCUUAACACAUGCAAGUCGAACGAUGAAGAAGAGAAACGCGAACUUCGGUUCAAAUUUCACUUCGGAUUAGAGGCAGACGGGUGAGUAACGCGUGAGCAACCUACCUCUUACAAAGGGAUAGCCUCGGGAAGCCGUGAUUAAUACCAUAUGACACAUUCAUAAGGCAUCUUAAGAAUGUUAAAGCUACGGCGGUAAGAGAUGGGCUCGCGUCCCAUUAGCUAGUUGGUGAGGUAACGGCCCACCAAGGCGACGAUGGGUAACCGGCCUGAGAGGGUGAACGGUCACAUUGGAACUGAGACACGGUCCAAACUCCUACGGGAGGCAGCAGUAGGGAAUAUUGCACAAUGGAGGGAACUCUGAUGCAGCGACGCCGCGUGAGCGAUGAAGGAAUUCGUUUCAUAAAGCUCUGUUCUAUGGGAAGAAAAGGACUGUACCAUAGGAGAAAGCCCCGGCUAAAUACGUG
rnacentral:rRNA from 1 species